rnacentral:rRNA from 1 species
GGCGAACGCUGGCGGCGUGCUUAACACAUGCAAGUCGAACGGUGAAGCGCCUUCCUUUUUGGUGGGUGUGGAUGAGUGGCGAACGGGUGAGUAACACGUGAGUAACCUGCCCCCUUCUUCUGGAUAACCGCAUGAAAGUGUGGCUAAUACGGGAUAUUCUGGGUCUGUCGCAUGAUGGGUCUGGGAAAGAUAUUGUUUCGGUGGGGGAUGGGCUCGCGGCCUAUCAGCUUGUUGGUGGGGUGAUGGCCUACCAAGGCGGUGACGGGUAGCCGGCCUGAGAGGGUGGACGGUCACACUGGGAAUGAGACACGGCCCAGACUCCUACGGGAGGCGGCAGUGGGGAAUAUUGCACAAUGGGCGCAAGCCUGAUGCAGCGACGCCGCGUGAGGGAUGGAGGCCUUCGGGUUGCGAACCUCUUUCGCCAGUGAAGCAGGCCUGCCUCGUUUGUGGGUGGGUUGACGGUAGCUGGAUAAGAAGCGCCGGCUAACUACGUG